rnacentral:rRNA from 1 species
UGGGGAAUAUUGCACAAUGGGCGCAAGCCUGAUGCAGCAACGCCGCGUGAACGAUGAAGGUCUUCGGAUCGUAAAGUUCUGUUGCAGGGGGAGAUAAUGACGGUACCCUGUGAGGAAGCCCCGGCUAACUACGUGCCAGCAGCCGCGGUAAUACGUAGGGGGCUAGCGUUAUCCGGAUUUACUGGGCGUAAAGGGUGCGUAGGUGGUCUUUCAAGUCGGUGGUUAAAGGCUACGGCUCAACCGUAGUUAGCCUCCGAAACUGGAAGACUUGAGUGCAGGAGAGGAAAGUGGAAUUCCCAGUGUAGCGGUGAAAUGCGUAGAUAUUGGGAGGAACACCAGUAGCGAAGGCGGCUUUCUGGACUGCAACAGACACUGAGGCACGAAAGCGUGGGUAGCAAACAGG